rnacentral:lncRNA from 1 species
GGCUCAGUGUCAGCAAGUAAAACAGAAAUUACCAAUGUCACCACCAGCGGUACAAGAAUCAAAACUGCAAGCUCUACAGCACAUGGUUAUGUUACCUGUUCCAAAUGAAUCAAUCAUCUUAUUAUUCAUAUAAAAUGCAGUCGCAGGUACACGUUAUUAAACAUUCUCCAUUGCAAAUUUUUAACUGAAAUCCAUUCUGAACAAGAAUGUCCAGAUUACAAUAUCCUUAUCGCCAAUUGAAUCAAUAGUAGCUAUAGCUCAAGUGUUGACAAAGCCCUUUCAAUAACACCACCAGCAAUAGGUAGUCCAGCUACUGCUUAUGCCAGGAGGAUGAACAUUUGGAGGUUCAGGGUUCGUGAUUCUCCAUGGCCAUGCGCUGAGGCAGGCUUGCUUGAAAAUCAGUUACUGCCUUGUCAAAUGAAGUCCUCACAUGUUGACACAUCCCCAACAAAUUAUUGAGUCCAUCCUUCAGUACAUCUCCUGCAGGAUCACCUGUUCACCCAACCAAAAGAUCAAUGGAUGGAAAUAAGACCGAAAGAGACAUCUGAAAUACAAUAAUUUACUG